AUUUUCGGUACUGGUGCCAUCACAACUGCUGAUCGUUUCUGCAGGAUUCCAGAAAAUAAUGUAUCCAUGAUACAGAGUGUAUACAAGUUUUGCGAUUACGCCUUCUGCGUAACAGUCAGUCCCACCGCAGUUUAACCCACAAGGAAUUUUCUCUUGUCCUAAACUAUUAUGGCCUUCUUUGUCCGAUUGAACGGAGGUAACGAAGUCUCGUCUUCCGCCAGUCGUCCGGGCGAAGCCAGUCUGGAGCCGCUCCGGAGCGCGCGUUGUGAUUGGCUCUUACAUUACUUUUCUACCUAAUUCGUAUCCUUGGGGUGACAGAUUUUCCCCACUACAAGGAAGACUGGGAAGUUCUAAGCACCGUCCUUUGGCAGGAAAAAACAAACAAAACAAAACAAAAAAACAGAAGGCCGAAUAGACAUUGGCACCACUGUCCAUCUACAAGCAUCAAAAAUAAAAUUGCUGGUGGUGGUUAGUAGAAUAAAAUUAUAAAAUCUGCUCACUCCAACUUGACCAUUUAGUCAACAAAUACUUACUGUCUUCUAUCUGUAAAGCUUCUUAAAAGUUUUCUCUUUUAAAAAAAAUGGCUUCUUUAAAACCUUUAACAGGCAUACAUCUUUGUGCUUCCCAGAUAUUGCAUUUUUUAACAAAUUGAAGGUUUGUGGCAACCCUGCAUCAAGCAAAUCUGUGGGCGCCAUUUUUCCAAAAGCAUGUGCUCAGUUCAUGUCUCUGUCACAUUUUGGUGAUUCUAACAAUAUUUCAAACUUUUUCAUUAUUAUUGUAUAUGUUAUGGUGAUCUUUGAAGUUACUAUUAUAAUUACUUUGGGACAUCACAAACAGCACCCAUAUAAGACAGCGACUGUAAUCCAUAAAUGUGUGUGUUCUGACUGCUCUACCAACCCUAUACCUUCCUCCAUAUCUCUCCCUCUCUUGGGCCUCCCCAUUCCUUGAGACACAACAAUAUUGACAUUAAGCCAAUUAAUAACCCUACGAUGGCCUCUGAGUGUUCCAGUAAAAGAAUCAUUUUACUUUAAAUCAAAAGCUUACUUUAAAUCAAAAGCUAGAAAUGAUUAAGCUUAGUGAGGAAGGCAUAUUGAAAGCCGAGACAGACCAAAAGCUAGGGCUCUUGCACCAAACAGCCAGGUAGUGAAUGCAAGGGAAAAGUCCUUGAAGGAAAGUAAAAAUGCUACUCCAGUGAACACACGAAUGAUAAGAAAGCGAAGGAGGCUUAUUGCUGGUAAAGAAACGUUUUCAUGUUCUGGAUAGAAGAUCAAACCAGACAUAACAUUCCCUUAAG
rnacentral:lncRNA from 10 species